rnacentral:rRNA from 1 species
CGAGUCCGAGGAGCUAAGGCUCCAAAGUGAUGCGAGUCAGACUUCCCAGAAAAGCCCGAACCACGUUAAUUUCUAAUUACCUGUACCCGAAACCGACACAGGUGGGUAGGUAGAGUAUACUAAGGGGCGCGAGAUAACUCUCUCUAAGGAACUCGGCAAAAUGACUCCGUAACUUCGGGAGAAGGAGUGCCUUAUUUAUAAGGUUGCAAUAACAAGAUCCAAGCAACUGUUUAUCAAAAACACAGGUCUCCGCUAAGUCGUAAGACGAUGUAUGGGGGCUGACGCCUGCCCAGUGCCAGAAGGUUAAAGAAGUUGGUUAGUGUAUGCGAAGCUGAUGACUGAAGCCCUGGUGAACGGCGGCCGUAACGAUAACGGUCCUAAGGUAGCGAAAUUCCUUGUCGGGUAAGUUCCGACCCGCACGAAAGGCGUAAUGAUUUGGAUACUGUCUCGGAGAGAGGCUCGGUGAAAUAGACUUGUCUGUGAAGAUGCGGACUACCUGCACCAGGACAGAAAGACCCUAUGAAGCUUUACUGUAACUUGAAAUUGGAAUUGGACUUUGCUUGCGCAGUAUAGGUGGGAAGCGUUGAAGAUAUUCUUGCGGGAGUAUUGGAGCUAUCAGUGAGAUACCACUCUUGUAAUGUUAGAUUUCUAACUUUGAACCAUAAUCUGGUCAAAGAACAGUUUCAGGUGGGCAGUUUGACUGGGGCGGUCGCCUCCCAAAUGGUAACGGAGGCGUACAAAGGUUUCCUCUGAACGGAUAGAAAUCGUAUCUAGAGUGUAAAGGCAUAAGGAAGCUUGACUGUGAGACCUACAAGUCGAGCAGGGACGAAAGUCGGUCUUAGUGAUCUGACGGUACUGAGUGGAAAGGCCGUCACUCAACGGAUAAAAGUUACUCUAGGAUAACAGGCUGAUCUCCCCCAAGAGUUCACAUCGACGGGGAGGUUUGGCACCUCGAUGUCGGCUCAUCGCAUCCUGGGGCGGUAGUACGUCCCAAGGGUUGGGCUGUUCGCCCAUGAAAGCGGUACGCGAGCUGGGUUCAGAACGUCGUGAGACAGUUCGGUCCAUAUCCGGUGUAGGCGUUAGAAUAUUGAGAGGAGCCUUCUUUAGUACGAGAGGACCGAGAAGGACACACCGCUGGUGUACCAGUUAUCGUGCCAACGGUAAACGCUGGGUAGCUAUGUGUGGAGUGGAUAACCGCUGAAAGCAUCUAAGUGGGAAGCCCACCUCAAGAUGAG